GUUAACAGACUUUUCCACCACGGGUCUGCCAGGUAAGAAAAGGUGCCAUGCAGUGCCAACCCAGCUAUACCAUUAAAGAGACAGUGCCCAUAACCGAGGCCAUAAUCCAGUACUGUGGCAUCCUUUUCAGCCGUGGCUGCCAAAAUCAGAGGGAGCGGACUGCCAUGUGGGACAAUACUGUCCAGAGAGUGAACAUCGUGGGCCACCAUGGACACACAUGAUCAGGUUCCUCUGGUCUACACAUGGUACAGCAGCCUGAAGCCGGUAAGU